GAUCAACGCUGGCGGCGUGCUUAACACAUGCAAGUCGAACGAAGUUUUUCUUUCGGGAGGAACUUAGUGGCGGACGGGUGAGUAACGCGUGGGUAACCUGCCCUGUACAGGGGGACAACAGCUGGAAACGGCUGCUAAUACCGCAUAAGCCCUUAGCACUGCAUGGUGCAUAGGGAAAAGGAGCAAUCCGGUACAGGAUGGACCCGCGUCUGAUUAGCCAGUUGGCAGGGUAACGGCCUACCAAAGCGAUGAUCAGAAGCCGAUCUGAGAGGAUGUACGGCCACAUUGGGACUGAGACACGGCCCAGACUCCUACGGGAGGCAGCAGUGGGGAAUAUUGCACAAUGGAGGAAACUCUGAUGCAGCGACGCCGCGUGAGUGAAGAAGUAUUUCGGUAUGUAAAGCUCUAUCAGCAGGGAAGAAAAUGACGGUACCUGAAGAAGAAGCACCGGCUAAAUACGUG
rnacentral:rRNA from 1 species